GUGCUUGCUUCGGCAGCACAUAUACUAGAAUUGGAACUAUACAGAGAUUUAGCAUGGCCCUUGCAUAAGGAUGACAUGCAAAUUCAUGAAGCGUUCCAUAUUAAA